GGGAAACAUUAAGGGCAGAUGACGGAUGUCUUGGCGUCGAGAGGCGAUGAAGGACGUAGGAACCUGCGAUAAGCCCAGGGGAGCUGGUAACCGAGCCCUGAUCCUGGGAUUUCCGAAUGGGGCAAUCCGGCCGCAAGGCCAUCGCCGCCUGAAUGUAUAGGGCGGCGAAGCGAACCUAGCGAACUGAAACAUCUUAGUAGCGAGAGGAAAGGAAAGCAACAGCGACUCCGCAAGUAGCGCCGAGCGAAAGCGGAUCAGCCAGAUUGCGGCGUGAACGGGCUGGAAAGCCCGACCAAAGAAGGUGACAGUCCUGUAGAGCCGUUGCUGGUGAGGCCUAGAGUAGAGUCGGACUCGUGAAAUCCGGCUUGAACAUGGGGGGACCACCCUCCAAGCCUAAGUACUCCUCGACGACCGAUAGUGAACAAGUAAGGCGACUGAACGAUGAAAAGCACCCCGAUAAGGGGAGUGAAAAGCACCUGAAAUCAUCUGCCUACACAGCGGUCGGAGCCCCGCAAGGGGUGACGGCGUGCCUUUUGCAUAAUGAGCUGGCGAGUUACUCUUUGCUGCAAGGUUAAGGCGAAUCCCGCCGUAACCGUAGGGAAACCGAGUCUUAAAAGGGCGCCAAGUAGCAGGGGGUAGACGCGAAACCGGUUGAUCUACCCAUGGGCAGGUUGAAGGGAGGGUAACACCUCCUGGAGGACCGAAGCCGUGAACGUUGAAAAGUUCUGGCAUGACCUGUGGGGAGGAGUUAAAGUCUAAUCAUAACCGGAGAUAUCUCGUUCUCCUCGAAAUAGUUUUUGGACUAGCCUCACGCGUCAUCGUACGGGGGUAGAGCUACUGAAUGGGACAGGAGGGCCACAAGCCUAUCCGUUCCAAUCAAACUCCGAAUACCGUAUGAGUCGGCGUGGGAGUAAGACUGCGGGGGAUAAUCUCCGUGGUCAAAAGGGAAACAACCCAGACCACCGGCUAAGGCCCCUGAACGGGUCUCAGUUAAUAAGGUAGUCGGAUUGCCGUGACAGCCAGGAUGUUGGCUUAGAAGCAGCCACCAUUUAAAAAGUGCGUAACAGCUUACUGGUCGAGGAAUCUGGCGCCGAUAAUUAUCGGGAAUCAAGGUUUGUACCGAAUCCGUGGCAGCAGCAAUGCUGGGUAGGGGAGCGUCGCUGUCAGCGUCGAAGGGGUUCCGCGAGGGACUCUGGAGCGGCAGCAAGUGAAUAUGCCAGCUUGAGUAACGAUAAAGAGAGUGAGAAUCUCUCUCGCCGAAAGUCCAAGGUUUCCUGGGGAAGGUAAAUCCGCCCAGGGUUAGGCGGCUCCUAAGGCAAGGCCGAAAGGCGUAGUCGAUGGACAGCAGGUCAACAUUCCUGCCCCGCCAUGCAAGGUUGAACCGACGUGACGAAUCUGGAAGCUCGCACGGCCCUGUGAAGUGGGCAGGCCCUUGAGGCCGACGUGGGGUGGACAGGUUCCAAGAAAAGACGUUCGGGGACGAGCAUGGUGGCCGUACCAAAACUGACACAGGUGGACGUGGCGAAUAGCCUCAGGCGCUCGAGAAAACGGUCGUGAAGGAACUAGGCAAUUUGACCCCGUACGUUCGCAACAAGGGGGCCCUCCUCGCAAGAGAGGGCGCAGAGAAAAGGCUCUGGGAACUGUUUAUCAAAAACACAGCACUGUGCGAACUCGCAAGAGGACGUAUACAGUGUGACGCUUGCCCGGUGCCGGAACGUCAAGGGAGCUGGUUAGCCGCAAGGCGAAGCUAGCGACUGAAGCGCCGGUAAACGGCGGCCGUAACUAUGACGGUCCUAAGGUAGCGAAGUUCCUUGUCGGGUAAGUUCCGACGCGCAUGAAUAGCGUAAUCACUGGAGCACUGUCUCCACGACCGACUCGGUGAAAUAGUAGUGGCGGUGAAGAUGCCGCCUACCCGCAGCAAGACGGAAAGACCCCGUGCACCUUUACUGUACGCUUGCAGUGGUCAUGGAUUUGUUCUGCGUAGUAUCGUGACUGGGAAAC
rnacentral:rRNA from 1 species